UGAAAAGCAGAGAAUGGAAAGAGUAUCUGUCAAAUGGAAACACAGAGAGGGAAAGUCGUUGGCUGAGAGCAUCCCGGGACCAGGACAGAGAAGUGCAUCCAGGAGCUGAUCUGGCGAGUAUAUGCAGAAUAUAGGUAGCCAGAUUCGUGAGCAGACGUUACAGGCACAGAGGGAAAGAUGUCAUUGACAUUUUUAAUAAGAGUGGAACCGCGGAAAUAUUUCGUCUCUUGG
rnacentral:ncRNA from 1 species